rnacentral:rRNA from 1 species
UAGGGAAUCUUCGGCAAUGGACGAAAGUCUGACCGAGCAACGCCGCGUGAGUGAAGAAGGUUUUCGGAUCGUAAAACUCUGUUGUUAGAGAAGAACAAGGAUGAGAGUAGAAUGUUCAUCCCUUGACGGUAUCUAACCAGAAAGCCACGGCUAACUACGUGCCAG